rnacentral:rRNA from 1 species
UACGGAGGGGGCAAGCGUUGUUCGGAAUUACUGGGCGUAAAGGGCGCGCAGGCGGCUGCUCAAGUCAGGCGUGAAAGGCCUGGGCUCAACCCGGGAAUUGCGCUUGAGACUGGGCUGGCUUGAGUGCGGGAGAGGAUGGUGGAAUUCCCAGUGUAGAGGUGAAAUUCGUAGAUAUUCGCAAGAACACCAGUGGCGAAGGCGGCUCACUGGCCCGAUACUGACGCUGAGGCACGAAAGCGUGGGGAGCAAACAGG